GUCCAGAAGCCCUCAAAUCUAGGUGAGUUUUGCUCAAAGACUGUGAAGAAGCAAACCUUCUGAAAUCAGAGGUAGUUGUUUAAAUCCCUGUUUGUCUUUCUUCUUCUUCCCCUAGUCUGGUGAUGUGGACCAGAAGCUUCUCCAUCCUAUUGAAUUCAAUCUCUGAGAUAAUCGUGUGGUCAAGCUUUCAGUCAACACGCAGCGAAGCGCCACGGCUCCACGGUGACCCUGUGGUGAGGGGCUGAUGGACCCCAUUUUGGUGACCUGCAGGGAGCCGGGAGCAGGAAACAAAAAAGAUUCUAAAGAGCUUUUCCAAUCACACAUAGUAGAAAGUAAUUAAUUACAUUUUGGAGUUAGGGUUUUUAAAUAAUAGCUUUCUGGACAAUUCUUUUUGGUAAAUAUUCUGCUUUAGAUUUAAAAAAAAUAUUUUGGGUAAGAUUAUUUUGGAAAAGCAGUAAAGAAUAUUAAAUUGUUAUAAUAAAGGGAAAACAUUUUAAUACAACAAAUAUAUCUGAAACUUCACCCUCUUGGCAUAUCAAUAUUUCCUCCAUCUGGUCCUUAUCCAUAUGUUCAUGUAAUUUGUAUAUAAAUACAAUUACAUUUAUAGUCUACCUUUGCAUUGAUAGAUCCUAAGUAUUUUUAAUGUAGUUCCCCUGAGCAUUUCUGAUUAUAUAAAAUAUUUCUGUAGUUUACUGUGACCUCUUAAAAAUGUUUUUUAGCAUAACGUCAUUGGGAAUAGGCUGCUGUUGUGCUUUACUCAUUACUGCUGUUUUUUUAAGAUGAGCUCUAUAGUUAUUAAGACCCACCUGUGAGGACUUGCCUGGUGGUCCAGUGGCUAAGACCCUGCACAACGCAGGGGGCCUGGUUUCCAUCCCCGGUCCGGGAACUAGAUCCCGCAUGCCGCAGCGAAGAGCCCGUGUGCCGCAACUAAGACCCAGCGCGACCAAAAUAAAUAAAUAAAUAUUAAAAAACAAACAAGCAAACAACCUACAGCCCACCACCUGUUAAAAAAAAAACAAAAGGAAAAAGAACCACUUGUGAAAUACAUGUCUGUGCCUGCCUGUGAAGUGACUUUAAAGGAGCCAAAUAAACAAAACCCAACACAAAGAAUCUCAUCUCUAGGAAUGGUAGAAACAACAUCGUUUCUUCAUUCAUGCUUCUUCAUUUGAUCAGUGCUGAUCGGGCAUCAACAACGGACAAGGCAACGCGGGAGAAGCGUCUUACAGAGCAGUCGGGAAGCAUCAGGGCCAGCCAGGGCACCUCCACCCUGCGGUGUCACGUGAUCCGUGGGACGGGAAGGCCACAAAAUCAGGGCCAUGCUGCAAGGAGGCUAAAGGAGCUGUUGUCCACGUCGGUGAUAUGGGGAGAUGUCUGGAGAGACUGGAUUUUAAAUUGGGGUCGAUGAGUGGGUCGGGCAAGACAGGGGACAUUCUACUCUGAGACACUAACAGAAGCAGCUACUGCAGAAGGACCCGCCAGCCGCGUUAGGAGGUUGGUGGGUGAGCGGGUGUUCCCCUUGGUUCAGGUGUGGAGUCCACGUGGGGUAACAGUCCCCCAAAGCCAGUAACAGCUGGAGCUAGACUGUGGGACCUCGAAGCUUUAUUCAAAUGGGACCCACAGAUGGUCUUUAAACAGGUGACCGCGGUCCCGACCAACAGCGACAGCCCGGCCCGGCCCAGCCGAAGCCCGCAGCAUAGAAACGAAACCGUGUUUCCCGCAGACGCCACGGCCUGUUAGGCAACGCAAAACGGAGACGCGCAGGCCCCUGAAAGAACCAGGCAGCUUUACCUGAAGCCCUCCUACUCCGGCGGCGGAUUUCCCACUCUGUUGUUUUCCUCUAUGGCCAUUUCCUUAAGAAGCUAAAUGUGCACUCACCCCACGACCCAGUGGUCAGACUCUCAGAACUGAAAUGUGUCUCCAUGAAGACUUGUGCACAAAUGCUCACAUCAGCCCCAAACAGCAAACAACUUGACAGGCCACGCACGGGGCGCCCAGGUGUCUGGCCAGACGUGAUCGCGGGUGUGUCUGGGAAGGUGUUUGUGGAUGAGAUGAACAAUGGAGCUGCACGCGUCCUGAGGGUGGGCCCCCUCCGAGCAGCUGAAGGCCUGACCGGAAUGAAAAGGCUGACCCCCCAUGAGGAAGAGCGAAUUCUCCUGCCCGACGGCUCUGCGCCGGGACACUGUGUUUCUCCUGCCUUUAGUCUCGGACUGAAUCCCUGGCUCCUCUUGGGUCUCAAACCUACCGGCCUUUGGACUGGAGUUUACGCGAUGGGCUCCCGGGGCCCCCAGCCUGUCGACCGCAGACCUCGGGGGUCAUCCGCCUCUACAGCCAUGGGAGGCAGUUCCUCAGCAUACACCCCCAUGCCGCCCAGAGGGUUCACUAGCGGGUGAAUGGACGAAUCCUGGAAUUCUCAGCAAUAAAAAGGCAUAAACUACCGAGGCAGCAACAACGGACAGGAGUCUUGAGAGCCCUGUGUGGAGUGAAAGAGACACAGACGAGUUCAUACUGGGUUUCCAUUUGUGUGAAAUUCCAGAGAAGACGGGUCUGUGACGCUGGCAGGCAGCCUGGCGGCGCUGGUGAAGGGGAGGUGACCUGACGGGCACGGCCCCAGUGGCGGUGGCACUUUGGCGCACGCAGGGCAAACGCGCGUUCUGUCUCAGUAGAGCUGGUUUUGCAGAAAGCAUCAGCCAGCCUGGCGGGAGUGGCCUCCUCUGAAACCAUGUCCUCCGCUGCCCCCACCUGCGUCAGAGGACGUUUAGCCGGGGGUCGGGCAGAAACCAAGUUGGGCCCAGCCCAUGUGAGGCCCAGGGGCCGGGGCGGGGGUGUCCCUGCGGCUGCUGGCCCGGCCCCUCCCUCACCCUGUGGGGGAGCCGACGAGGCAGAGGCGGGGCUGGGACAGGCGUGGGGUGUCCCUGGCCCUCGGGCCUCCAGCCGCCCUCACCCUCCGUCUCACGAGGCCUGGAGGUCUGGGCCGAGCCGACUCCCACCUUCACCACGAUCCGGGGGCCACGGAUCGCUUCUCGGCAGGGAAAGCUUCCCGGGACAGAGCGUGGAGGGCACGAAGAGCAGACGGAAGUCUCGCGAGGCCUGGAACGCGGGUGACCAGGGAGGAGCUGUUUCAGCGUCAGCCGACUUGCCGAACGGGUCAGCCGCAAACGGGCGGGAGCGCCCCCGGCGGCCGCUCUGCGUCCCGUCCGGGCAGCCCCGUCUGCCUGGUAGAGGCGGUCCCGGGAGAUCUGGUGCAGCAGCCCAGGCGGGGUGGCGACUUCGCUGCGGUACUUAAAGAAUGAGUUUCUCAACCGCGCCUUCAGCCAUGUUAACACCGCUCCCCAGAUUCGAGAACUCAUUAAAAGAGAAACGCUUGAUCGUAGAAGCAAUAACCUGAAUUUUGGCCAAUGUACUGAGAAUUCAUUUUAAUUGGAAACGUGUUUUCUUGCCGAGGACUUUGGGGGGUGCCUCGGGGUGCGAAGGAGCCGGUGCCCAGCUGACGUGCACGAUGUUCCCUGCGGGCUCAGAGCGCCCCUCUCAGUGCUGGAGAGAAGGUGCUCCGUGACCUGGGGCGGGUGACUGGGCGUCUCUGUGCCUCAGCUCUUGCCCAUGAGAAGGAGGUGACGAUGGGGGCCUCCCCGCCCAGCACAGGCUGCUGCAAAGGACGAGGGCAGAGAACGCACCAGCUGUGAGAGGCUUGAUUCAUAUUUUGCUUUUGGUCUAAUUUGCAGCUUUUGCCUUUGACGACACUAUUUGCCUUGUGUGAUUGUUGUGAGGAUUAAAUGAGAUGAUUUAUGUAAACUGAUAAGUUCAAUAGUAAAAGUUAUUUAUUUCGGAAGUUUAUAGCUAAGGACGUAAUUGUAAAAAUUAUUACUGUUGGAUGACGCCUUUAAACCUAAAGUUCUGUGUUAUUUGCCUGUUUUCAUUUGGAUGCGGCCUUUUCAUGUGUUCUCUGGGUGUCGACCUCACCACAACCCCAUGAAGUGAA